rnacentral:rRNA from 1 species
UACAGAGGGGGCAAGCGUUGUUCGGAAUUACUGGGCGUAAAGGGCGGGUAGGCGGUCUGCUAAGUCGAACGUGAAAUCCCCGGGCUCAACCCGGGAACUGCGUCCGAUACUGGCAGGCUUGAAUCCGGGAGAGGGAUGCGGAAUUCCAGGUGUAGCGGUGAAAUGCGUAGAUAUCUGGAGGAACACCGGUGGCGAAGGCGGCAUCCUGGACCGGCAUUGACGCUGAGGCGCGAAAGCCAGGGGAGCAAACGGG